GGCUAAUUUUAUCGUAAAUUGUUGACAAGCCGAUUAAAUACCGCUUGGAACUAGCUUUAAAUAUUCGGAAUCUAAAGGGAGUAAAGCGAGUAACCAUUGUUGUCAUAACUGAGGAUAGGACGCUCACGAAACCAGUUUCAAGAUGAUUGCUGUUAUAAAAAGAAUUGGGCUCGUGGUCACGUGCCUUGCCCUUCUUGUGCUGCCGUUGGCCACAGCAGGGGUGUACUUCCCACGUGAUUCGGAUGCAGACGACAUAAGCAUGUUCCCACCUAAAUUGUCUACUGCCGACCGCUUUCUUGACCUUUCUUCCAACGUAGAAAGCCGAAGUCGUCCGAAGACGCCCGAAAUCAGUUUUUCAGAUGAAAAUCUGCAGAUUAAACGUCAGAACUCAAUAGGCUGUCGCGGUUGUUCCUCCUUCGACGUACAUCUUUGCGAGAUCGGAUGUAUCUUGAACAGCGGACCGGGCAGCAGCGGACCCGAUUCCCAGUGCUUAGACGAGUGCGCUGAAACCUUCAUUCGAUGUGUCGGUUGCCUUAACAAAACGUCUUGACUGUGUAUAAAAUAAUUAUGCGGCAUUCUGAGACUGAGAGUUUAAUUGCACGUGCAUAAAGUGUCUUCCCAGAUUAGCCUGUGCUUAUCAGGGACGACUUUUUCCACCUCAACAGGAUUUUCGGGUGGAAGAGACUUCACUUAAACGAAAAAUUCCAUAAAAAACGAAAAGCGUAUUUCCCGAUUAGGCUCUGCGGACUGCACAGGCUAAUCUAAGACGACACUUUACGCACAUGUAUUAAACCCCGUUUUCUCAGAACGCGGCAUCCUUAGACUGUGUGGACUGUGUAGACUGUGUAGACUGUGUAGACUGUGUAGACUGUGUAGACUAUGUGCGUUUGAUGUAAAUCCACUCUUCUGUUAAAACUUUUCAUGAAACAUCAACUCAAACAUUUCUUGUUUUACUUCAGUAUUUGAUGAAGAUAAAUCUUGGAGAUUUAUUUUCUUAUCUAAUUAACAUUUUAUUAAAAUGUCACACAAAUACGCCGCGCUUCUAUUGAAAAUAUACUGUGUUUGUGAAUUAAUUUAUUAAUAUGUGAAAAAUGUUUUGUUCGUGAAUUAAUUUAUUAACAUGUGAAAUAUGGAUUUGCAAGUUGAAUACUAAUGUCUAACAAUGUUAAUACAUACACUAUAGCUAACUCAGCAGUUAAAACUUCAUUACAAUUAUAUAUUAUUUGUACAUAUUAAAUUUUACAACGCC